rnacentral:rRNA from 1 species
CCUACGGGAGGCAGCAGUGAGGAAUAUUGGUCAAUGGACGAGAGUCUGAACCAGCCAAGUAGCGUGAAGGAUGACUGCCCUAUGGGUUGUAAACUUCUUUUAUAUGGGAAUAAAAUGUUCCACGUGUGGGAUUUUGUAUGUACCAUAUGAACAAGGAUAGGCUAACUCCGUGCCAGCAGCCGCGGUAAUACGGAGGAUCCGAGCGUUAUCCGGAUUUAUUGGGUUUAAAGGGAGCGUAGGUGGAUUGUUAAGUCAGUUGUGAAAGUUUGCGGCUCAACCGUAAAAUUGCAGUUGAAACUGGCAGUCUUGAGUACAGUAGAGGUGGGCGGAAUUCGUGGUGUAGCGGUGAAAUGCUUAGAUAUCACGAAGAACUCCGAUUGCGAAGGCAGUUCACUGGACUGCAACUGACACUGAGGCUCGAAAGUGUGGGUAUCAAACAGGAUUAGAUACCCCUGUAGUC